rnacentral:piRNA from 1 species
UCUGUUAUGAGAUCUGGUGCCCUUUU